UACGUAGGGUCCGAGCGUUGUCCGGAAUUAUUGGGCGUAAAGAGCUCGUAGGCGGUUUGUCGCGUCUGCUGUGAAAUCCCGAGGCUCAACCUCGGGCCUGCAGUGGGUACGGGCAGGCUAGAGUUCGGUAGGGGAGACUGGAAUUCCUGGUGUAGCGGUGAAAUGCGCAGAUAUCAGGAGGAACACCGGUGGCGAAGGCGGGUCUCUGGGCCGAUACUGACGCUGAGGAGCGAAAGCGUGGGGAGCGAACAGG
rnacentral:rRNA from 1 species